AUUGAACGCUGGCGGAAUGCUUUACACAUGCAAGUCGAACGGUAGAGGGGGCAACCCCUCGAGAGUGGCGAACGGGUGAGUAAUAUAUCGGAACGUGCCCAGUCGUGGGGGAUAACGUAGCGAAAGUUACGCUAAUACCGCAUACGAUCUACGGAUGAAAGCGGGGGAUCGCAAGACCUCGCGCGAUUGGAGCGGCCGAUAUCAGAUUAGGUAGUUGGUGGGGUAAAGGCUCACCAAGCCAACGAUCUGUAGCUGGGCUGAGAGGACGACCAGCCACACUGGAACUGAGACACGGUCCAGACUCCUACGGGAGACAGCAGUGGGGAAUUUUGGACAAUGGACGCAAGUCUGAUCCAGCCAUUCCGCGUGCAGGAUGAAGGCCCUCGGGUUGUAAACUGCUUUUGUACGGAACGAAAAGGUUUCCAUUAAUACUGGGAGCUCAUGACGGUACCGUAAGAAUAAGCACCGGCUAACUACGUGCCAGCCGCCGCAGUAA
rnacentral:rRNA from 1 species